GUGGGAGGGGGCUUGCCCCCGAUGACAGUGUGUCAGUUACGUAUAAAUCGACUGAUCCACCGCUAUCGGGGGCAAGCCCCCUCCCAC
rnacentral:misc_RNA from 1 species